GGAUUAAAAGAGAAAACUAAUUCUUAAAGUCUGGUUGUGGAAGGAGAAAUGCAGGUAUGCUUAGUAAAAACAAUGUUAUCAACUGCUAAGCCAGAAAAAAACGUCCACUUCAACUCCUGGAGGUGAGAAUGCUUCCUUCUUUCAAGAAAGCAGGCUUGACAACCUGGCCACCCUUGGGAAUUUUGAGACUGUUUUCUGUCAAGCACCUGUUUUUCACUGGAUGUUUUGGUUGGAUGAUCCUGAUGGCAGAG
rnacentral:lncRNA from 1 species